CUCUUCUUCUUCCCUUGGGUCCAGCUUGUCGGCCGUUAGGGGGCCCUUUGAUUCGUCGCUUCGUGCAGAGAUCUGAAAGCAUCAUCGGGCGAGGCGUUGAUCUCCGCGCAUCUUCCCGACGCCAUUUUUGGUCGGGAACCGAACCAGGAGAUGAUACGUGGAAACUAUCGCUUUGAGGGCGUUUAGUCCGGGUCUUCCAAGUAUGGCGUUGUAGGCUGAGGGCACUUGGACGA
rnacentral:lncRNA from 1 species